ACCUGGAUCAGCCUGGAACCAGCUAUCAAGCGCCCGCUGUGACUCACAGCACCGGGGACGAUAGCUUGCUGGAUGCCAUGGAUAAUUGCAGCGAUGGGCUGCAUGAGUCAGAUAAUGAUAUUCUCGGCAUCAGCAGUGGUGAAGAGGACAGCAGUGAUAGCGAAUCGUUGGACUCCACUCUGCUAGAAGAAUCC